rnacentral:rRNA from 1 species
CAGUCGCCGCGGGAACACGUAGGGUGCGAGCGUUAAUCGGAAUUACUGGGCGUAAAGCGCACGUAGGCGGAUAUUUAAGUCAGGGGUGAAAUCCCAGAGCUCAACUCUGGAACUGCCUUUGAUACUGGGUAUCUUGAGUAUGGAAGAGGUGAGUGGAAUUCCGAGUGUAGAGGUGAAAUUCGUAGAUAUUCGGAGGAACACCAGUGGCGAAGGCGGCUCACUGGUCCAUUACUGACGCUGAGGUGCGAAAGCGUGGGGAGCAAACAGGAUUAGAUACCCGCGUAGUCCCUGUCUCUUAUAC